rnacentral:rRNA from 1 species
GGAAGGAUCAUUACCGAACUGUCGACACGAGUUGUUGCUGGUCCUCGAAAGGGGUCAAGUGCACGCUCUGUUUACACAUCCACUCACACCUGUGCACCCUCUGUAGUUCUAUGGCCUGGGGGCUCUGUCCUCUUGCUGUGGUCCUACGUCUUUACACACACACCGUAAUAGAGUCUCAUGGAAUGUAUCUCGCGUUUAACGCAGUAUAAUACAACUUUCAGCAACGGAUCUCUUGGCUCUCGCAUCGAUGAAGAACGCAGCGAAAUGCGAUAAGUAAUGUGAAUUGCAGAAUUCAGUGAAUCAUCGAAUCUUUGAACGCACCUUGCGCCCUUUGGCUAUUCCGAAGGGCAUGCCUGUUUGAGUAUCAUGAACACCUCAACUCUCAUGGUCCACCAUGAUGAGCUUGGACUUUGGGGGUCUUGCUGGCCUAUCACCGGCUCCUCUCAAAUGAAUCAGCUUGCCAGUGUUUGGUGGCAUCACAGGUGUGAUAACUAUCUACGCUUGUGUUUUCCCACCAGGUAACCUCCAGCAAUGGGGGUUCGCUGAAGCUCACAAUUGUCUCUCAUCAGUGGAGACAGCUUUUGAACGUUUGAUCUCAAAUCAGG